GACCCGUCUUGAAGCACGGACCAAGGAGUCCAACAUGUGCGCGAGUCUAAGGGUUGUCUAAACCUGGAGGCGAAAUGAAAGUGAGUCCCUUUUGGGGCAGGCCGAUCCCCUGCCGCGGAUCCGGCGUGCACUGGCCUUAGCGGAGAGAAUUUGCUUUGGCCGUGUUGUGCGUGUGGGUUUGCGGUGGCCCGGUUUGUUUAAAAGGCUGCCGGGAGAUGGGGCGCAGGCCGAGGACUUGCCAGAGUGCGGCGCGGGCAACGGGCAGUCUCCCUGGGAGGCUUCCUUAUCCCGAUGUCCGCCGGCAAGUACCUGAGAGCGCAGCCGUUGGGACCCGAAAGAUGGUGAACUAUGCCUGGCGAGGACGAAGCCAGAGGAAACUCUGGUGGAGGUCCGAAGCAGUUCUGACGUGCAAAUCGAUUGUCAGANCUGGGAUAGGGGCGAAAGACAAUCNACCUA
rnacentral:rRNA from 1 species